rnacentral:rRNA from 1 species
GAUGAACGCUGGCGGCGUGCCUAAUACAUGCAAGUCGAGCGAACAGACGAGGAGCUUGCUCCUCUGACGUUAGCGGCGGACGGGUGAGUAACACGUGGAUAACCUACCUAUAAGACUGGGAUAACUUCGGGAAACCGGAGCUAAUACCGGAUAAUAUAUUGAACCGCAUGGUUCAAUAGUGAAAGACGGUUUUGCUGUUACUUAUAGAUGGAUCCGCGCCGCAUUAGCUAGUUGGUAAGGUAACGGCUUACCAAGGCAACGAUGCGUAGCCGACCUGAGAGGGUGAUCGGCCACACUGGAACUGAGACACGGUCCAGACUCCUACGGGAGGCAGCAGUAGGGAAUCUUCCGCAAAGGGCGAAAGCUUGACGGAGCAACGCCGCGUGAGUGAUGAAGGUCUUCGGAUCGUAAAACUCUGUUAUUAGGGAAGAACAAAUGUGUAAGUAACUAUGCACGUCUUGACGGUACCUAAUCAGAAAGCCACGGCUAACUACGUG